AGAUCGAAAAGAAUGCAUUGGAUGAAUGCCCAAGCAUAGAGAAGGAAGGACUCUUUCAAAGGCGAAAGGCAAUGGGGAGAUACCGUCUGUGAUCCAUGGAUCUCCGAUCGGGAAAUCGUAUCCAAGCUCCGUGGCUAGUCUGCGCUCUUUGGACUUUUCAAACUUAGUGAACUGAAACAUCUUAUUAGCUAAUGGAAGGGAAAUCAAUCGAGACCCCAUCAGUAGCAGCGAGCGAGAGCGGAUUGGGGGUUUGAAGAAAAACAAACACGAAGCUUUGUUCCUCUCCUUUUAGGAGAGCUACUUCAUUCCUCAGCAAAGUGUUUACUUCUUUUUUGCCAGGUUUCAUUCGAUUUGUUAUGGAUUGGAUGAUGGAAAAACCAGCAAGCUACGGCUUCAAAGUUUACCUUAUUUAGAAAAGGAGAAAGGGCUUUUUUAUAGAUGUUGAGGUUGAGUAUGGGGGCGGAGCUUGAAGAUAGAAGCAAGCCGUGCUAGCCUAGCAAUAUUUUUCAGCAGCAAGCUAUGGUCUAACGACCCUCUAACCUAGGUUGGGGCAAAAACUCCAAAAUCCAAAAUGUUGGUUAGGGUUCCUCUUCUUUUAGGCGAGCUACUUCAUUCCAAACCUUUCUCUAAUAAUAAGGUAAGCUUUCAAGCGGCCGCCCUUUAAAGGAGCGGGUGCAGUGAACUAUAAUUGUGAAAAAAUUGGAAGAUCUGGCCAAAGAAUGUGAUAGCCCUGUAGAUUCGUUCCCAUGGUUCGAUCCUUCCCAGUAAAACAUGGCGUGUUCGAAUUCUAAUUGCUUUUAUAUGAGAAAAGGGGACUACCCUCUAAGCCUAAGUAUUCAUCAAUGACCAAUAGCGUACAAGUACCAUGAGGGAAAGGUGAACAGAACCCUAUUUAGGGAGUACAAUAGAGAACCUGAGAUCCGAUGCGAACAAUCAAUCGAAAGAGCGGAGCUUAGAGCCUUUACUUUAUGUAAAGCACACUUACUCUAACGGCGUACCUUUUUUAUGAUGGGUCAGCGAGGAAAUGGGAACAGCGGCUUAAGCCAUUAGGUGUAGGCGCUUUCCAGAGGUGGAAUCUUCUAGUUCUUCCUAUUUGACCCGAAACUGAUCGAUCUAGCCAUAACCAGGUUGAAGAGAGCUCUAACAGGCCUUGGAGGACCGAACCUACGUAUGUGGGAAAAUACAGGGAUGACUUGUGGCUAGGGGUGAAAGGCCAACCAAGAUCGGAUAUAGCUGGUUUUUCGCGAAAUUUAUUUCAGUAGAGCGUAUGAUGUCGAUGGCCCGAGGUAGAGCACUCAAUGGGCUAGGGUGGCCUUAUUUCACCUUACCAACCCCAGGGAAACUCAGAAUAUAGGCCUAGAUCAUUUGUAUAGACAGACUUUUUGGGUGCUAAGAUCCAAAGUCGAGAGGGAAACAGCACAGAUCAUACGCUAAGGUCUCUAAGCAAUCACUUAGUAGAAAAGGAAGUGAUCGAGCAAUGACAACCAGGAGGUGGGCUUGGAAGCAACCAUCCUUUGAAGAAAGCGUAAUAGCUCACUGGUCUAGCUCCAUGGCACCGAAAAUAUAUCAGGGCUCAAGUGAUUCACCGAAGCAACGAGACCUUAAAAUCUGCUUUUUCAAGUCACAGUAGCAAAAUAUUCUGUCAAUCGGGGAAGGUUUUUGGUGACAAGACCUAGAGAUAUCAAAAGUGAGAAUGCUGACAUGAGUAAUGAAAAAUCCUGUGAAAAACACGAUCGCCUGCCAAUGGAAGGUUUUCUGCAUUCAGUCAAUCUACGCAGAGUGAAUCGGUCCUUAAGGAACCCCCGAAAGGGCCUAGUCUGAUGGGUACACAAAAGUGAUGAAGUUGCUUUGACUACAGAUCCAUGCCUGUCUGUUGGAGCGAAUUGGAUAAUCGGGCCAAGGGUUGCCCCCUCUUCCUAUCACUCUCUUUUUACUAAUAUGAACCUUGAGUCAUCAAAGUCUUUUUUACUCGGCCUGGCUCGGUCGCCCUACGCGACUGGUGCUUCAAAAGGUGAAAAUCUCGGUCGUAGUUUGGUGACCUAUCUUCAGUAGGGGCCUUUAGUCUUUUGAUUAGAGUAUGGGUCACGAGAGUGCAGAGCGUACUGCCCUGCCAUAGUCACGAGUCUGUUUAUAGUCGCGACUGUUGUCAUAGUCAACAAGGUUGAAACUUCCAGGAAAAAACUUUGAAUUGGGAGGGCGAUCCUCCCGGUGAACUGACCGUACCCCAAAUCAACAUAGGUGAACAAGUAGAGUAUACUAUGGCGCUUGAGAAAACCAUGUCGAAGGAACUCGACAAAAUGACCCCGUAACUUCGGGAUAAGGGGUGCUCUCUUAUCUUUUGAUUAGGAAAGUGGCACAUACCAGGGGGUGGCGACUGUUUAUUAAAAACACAGGACUCUGCUAAGUGGUAAUACGGUGUAUAGAGUCUAACACCUGCCCGGUGUUGGAAGGUCGGAAGGAGAAGUGUUAUAAGCUUUGAAUGAAAGCCCCGGUAAACGGCGGUAGUAACUCUAACUGUCCUAAGGUAGCGAAAUUCCUUAUCGCAUAAGUAGCGACCUGCACGAAUGGUGUAACGACUGCCCUACUGUCUCCGACAUGGACCCGGUGAAAUUGAAUUCUCCGUGAAGAUGCGGAGUACCAACGGCUAAAUGGUAAGACAUAACUAUAGCUUCGCAGUGACAACCUUAAUUAAAUAUGUAGGAUAGAUGGGAGGUGGUGACACACAACGACCAAUCUUGAAAGACCACUUUUUUAUCUAAGAAUGCCUAACCACCGCACCGAUCAUUCAGAGAGAGGCGGGACACUACAAGACGGGUAGUUUAUCUAGGGCGGAUGCCUCCUAAAGAGUAAAGGAGGUGUGUGAAAGUAGGAUCAAGCUAAGAUUUUGCUAGUGAGUGUAAUGGUAUAAGCCUGCCUGACUGUGAGACCAACUGGUUGAACAGAGAUGAAAGUCGACUAUAGUAAUCCGGGAUUCCCGUGUGGAAGGGCUCUCACUCAACGGAUCAAAGGUACGCCAGGGAUAAUAGGAUGAUUACUCCCAAGAGCUCUUAUCGACGAAGUCAUUUGGAACCUCGAUGUCGACUCAUCACAUGCUGGGGUUAAAGAAAGUCCCUAGGGUUCGAUUGUUCACUGAUUCAAGUGGUACGUGAGUUGGCUUUAGAACAUCGUGAGAUAGUUCGGUUCUUAUCUACCAUUGGUGUAAAAGGGAGAACUGCGAGGAGCCAACCCUAGUACGAGAGGACUGGGUUGGGGUAACCUAUGGUGUACCGGUUGUUAUGCCAACAGUAGUGCCGGGUAGCUAAGUUAGUAUGGAAGAACUGCUGUGCCACGGGAAAUCUUUCUCUAUACAAGUUCUCGGAUGAGAUUUUUGAAUAGAACUUCGAUAGGCGAGAGGUGUAAGCACCGCGAGGUGUGAAGCGAUCUCGUACUAAAUGAAACUACUUUCACUUUCC
rnacentral:rRNA from 1 species